UACGUAGGGUGCAAGCGUUAUCCGGAAUUACUGGGCGUAAAGCGUGCGUAGGCGGAUUUUUAAGUCGAAUGUUAAAUCUACAGGCUCAACUUGUAGGCUGCAUUCGAUACUGGAAGUCUUGAGAGUGGAAGAGGCAGAUGGAAUUCCCGGUGGAGCGGUAAAAUGCGUAGAUAUCGGGAGGAACACCAAUGGCGAAGGCAGUCUGCUGGGCCACUUCUGACGCUAAGGCACGAAAGCGUGGGGAGCGAUCGGG
rnacentral:rRNA from 1 species